rnacentral:lncRNA from 1 species
GCCCCUCCCCCAGCCUCAUUACUGCCUUGCAGUUUGAUCUCAGACUGCUGUGCUAGCAAUCAGCGAGACUCCCUGGGCGUAGGACCCUCCGAGCCAGGUGUGGGAAAUAAUCUCCUGGUGCACCGUUUCCUAAGCCCGUCGGAAAAGCGCAGUAUUUGGGUGGGAGUGGCCCGAUUUUCCAGGUGCCCUCCUUUCCUUGACCAGGAAAGGGAACUCCCUGACCCCUUACGCUUCCCAAGUGAGGCAAUGCCUCGCCCUGCUUCGGCUGGCGCACGGUGCCCUGCACCCACUGUCUGGCACUCCCUAGUGAGAUGAACCCGGUACCUCAGAUGGAAAUGCAGAAAUCACCCAUCUUCUGCGUGGCUCAUGCUGGGAGCUGUAGACCAGAGCUGUUCCUAUUCAGCCAUCUUGGCUCCCGGAUCCAGUUUAACUUUUGCAGAGAGACAAGAUCUCUCUCCAUUGCCAACACUGGUCUCAAACUCCUGGCCUCAAGCAAUCAUCCAACCUCAGCCUUCUGAGUACCGGGAUUACAAGUGCGAGCCACUGUGCCCAGCUCCUGUUUCUACUUUCUUAAGGCAAACCACUUCAAUAGAACAUGGCUGGCGGCCAUAUGGACAUAUUUGAAUCCAACAAUUAAUUCAGCAAAGAAAGCUGCUUGUGGCAAGUUUUGAAUGUGCCAUUCCAGGUAGUGCUUUGAUGAUAAAUGAGGAGAAGAUUGCAAAGAAAAUGACAGCAACAUUUAUAAAAGGAUUCCUCUUAGGACUCUAGAUGCACGGAGAGUGGCCAGAUUAAUACAGACUGGCAAAAGAAGAACUUGGCAAAGUGAUUUGAUCACACACUUCUCACCCUCACAUCUCCUGACAGUUCCCCUAAUCCCUGCCCCACUUCCCCGCCAUGGGCUUCCAUCAGGAAACUCCUUGAUAUCAUCUUCGUUACAGGAAUGCAGAUGUGAUUCCUAUGGAUGAGGGUAACCUAGAGGCUAGAAGAACAAUAGGACAGAAGAAGCCUGGGUCCCUGAACAACCUUGUGGAGCAUAGACACCUACGUGGCCUGGACUGCCAGCUCACAAUGGGCCUCUCUGUGAGAGAAGGAAACUUCCCUCUUGUUUAAGCAACUGUGCUUUUGAGAAUCUCUUGGUCUAUACCCUAAUGAAUAAGGCCAUCAUAAAUGGAUAUCAAAGUAAGGAAAUUUGUGUAAAUGAUUUAAUAAAACAUUACCUCAGGUAUGAAAUAAUUCUACCUUGUGCCUUGACAACAUCAGGUAUUAUUCAUGCCCUUUUCUCUCCCUGUAAUGUCUCUUAUCCACGGGUAGAAAUUAUAUUUUCCAUCUAAGGUUUGCUCAAAUAUUAUCUACUUAAGUAGCUCUUACCAAUUUUGCCUCUCCUCCUGAGCUGACCCUAUGCCUUCUAUGCUGUUCCAGGUAAUAUUAAUCUCUUCCUUUGUACUUCUUUCACAGAACAUACUUUUUUGUCUAACAUAAUAACUAUAGGCAUAAGUGUAUAGAUUCCACUAGGGGCUUCAGAACAGAAACUAUCAUCUUAUUAAUUUUUUUCUCCCUGAUAUCUAGGGAAAUAUGUUAUAUAUAAUAGGCCCUUAGUAAUCCCAUAAAUGUUUGUGAGAUAUUCACUGACUAUAAGCCAUACUCUGUAUUUAUUUAGCUAAAACAGACGUCUUUCAUAUUUAGUUAGCAGAAAAUGCUCACAUUUACUCCUUUCCUGUUUACCAAAUGAAAGGGUAAUUGUUUUUUCACAGAUUGCACUAGAAAAGUGUCUUCUCUCUCUUUUUCAAAUAGAUUGUCUUUAAAACAUAUGACAGGAAAAGUGACUAUUGUUAGGAUAAGAUAAUUACGAUUGUAACAGCUAGUUUAAAAGAAGUGUCAGUUGCUCCUGUUUUAUUUUUCACAGGAUAGAGCUGCGGCCUGUCUCAGUAUGAUGUUUUCAGGAUCUGGUAUAUAUUUUUAUUUUCCUACAUGAAUCUUUCAUCCUUUUACUGACAUUUAUUCAUUUUAUCUAAUUAUCCUAAAAGGAAAGCUCUGGCCAGGCAAAUUGGUUGUUGUCUGCCUCUGAAGAGACAUUCAUAUCGCGUCGCUUAGCUUUCAAGUUUUGUGAUCAGGAACCCUCAGGCCCAUUUUUAAGGAGGUUUCAGGCUAGCUGAGCUUCACUGUCUCCCAAAAUGUACAAAAUGAGAUUACAUGAGGGACAAGAUCAAUUUACUGGAAGGUACUUAAGCAGUAAAUCUGGAGCUUUUUGUCCAGUCACUAUUGCUUUCAAGCUUUGUAGCAGAAAAUUAAGCCACAAGAGCUUUGACAAAUUAGAUAUUACUACCUCUAAUUGUGUAUGUUUAAGCUUAUCACACUGAAUUGCAGCAUUGUAACUGACUAUUAUGCCAACAAGGCCUUCGUUUAAUCAGCGCAGUGCCAUUUAAUCGCAAUUAAUCACUCAACUAAAAUGUCAUAUUAAGGUCACAGAAACUUGAAGGGCUAAAAGAAAAGAGAACAUUAAAGUCAGCUGAUGGAGGAAAAGAGCAUGGUGUGCCAAGGGAAGUUCUGAGCACUCUUUUUCAUUAGAAGCUGGUAGAACAUUUAAUGAGAAUUCAGUCUUAACUUUCAGCUGAGAUCAGAACAACGUGCC